GACGUAGGGGGCAAGCGUUGUCCGGAAUUAUUGGGCGUAAAGCGCUCGUAGGCGGAUCGGUAAGUCUGUGAAGAAAGACCCGGGCUCAACUCGGGGAACGGCAUAGAUACUGCUGAUCUUGAGACAGUCAGAGGAUGAUGGAAUUCCAGGUGUAGCGGUGAAGUGCGUAGAUAUCUGGAGGAACACCAGUGGCGAAGGCGAUCAUCUGGGGCUGUUCUGACGCUGAGGAGCGAAAGCUAGGGGAGCAAACGGG
rnacentral:rRNA from 1 species